rnacentral:rRNA from 4 species
AAAUUGAAGAGUUUGAUCAUGGCUCAGAUUGAACGCUGGCGGCAGGCCUAACACAUGCAAGUCGAACGGUAACAGGAAGCAGCUUGCUGCUUUGCUGACGAGUGGCGGACGGGUGAGUAAUGUCUGGGAAACUGCCUGAUGGAGGGGGAUAACUACUGGAAACGGUGGCUAAUACCGCAUAACGUCGCAAGACCAAAGAGGGGGACCUUCGGGCCUCUUGCCAUCAGAUGUGCCCAGAUGGGAUUAGCUUGUUGGUGAGGUAACGGCUCACCAAGGCGACGAUCCCUAGCUGGUCUGAGAGGAUGACCAGCCACACUGGAACUGAGACACGGUCCAGACUCCUACGGGAGGCAGCAGUGGGGAAUAUUGCACAAUGGGCGCAAGCCUGAUGCAGCCAUGCCGCGUGUAUGAAGAAGGCCUUCGGGUUGUAAAGUACUUUCAGCGGGGAGGAAGGUGUUGUGGUUAAUAACCACAGCAAUUGACGUUACCCGCAGAAGAAGCACCGGCUAACUCCGUGCCAGCAGCCGCGGUAAUACGGAGGGUGCAAGCGUUAAUCGGAAUUACUGGGCGUAAAGCGCACGCAGGCGGUCUGUCAAGUCGGAUGUGAAAUCCCCGGGCUCAACCUGGGAACUGCAUUCGAAACUGGCAGGCUUGAGUCUUGUAGAGGGGGGUAGAAUUCCAGGUGUAGCGGUGAAAUGCGUAGAGAUCUGGAGGAAUACCGGUGGCGAAGGCGGCCCCCUGGACAAAGACUGACGCUCAGGUGCGAAAGCGUGGGGAGCAAACAGGAUUAGAUACCCUGGUAGUCCACGCCGUAAACGAUGUCUACUUGGAGGUUGUGCCCUUGAGGCGUGGCUUCCGGAGCUAACGCGUUAAGUAGACCGCCUGGGGAGUACGGCCGCAAGGUUAAAACUCAAAUGAAUUGACGGGGGCCCGCACAAGCGGUGGAGCAUGUGGUUUAAUUCGAUGCAACGCGAAGAACCUUACCUGGUCUUGACAUCCACAGAACUUUCCAGAGAUGGAUUGGUGCCUUCGGGAACUGUGAGACAGGUGCUGCAUGGCUGUCGUCAGCUCGUGUUGUGAAAUGUUGGGUUAAGUCCCGCAACGAGCGCAAC